GAUUAGCUGACGAGUCCCAAACAGGACGAAACAGCUGUCCAGUGC
rfam:Echinostoma caproni strain Egypt genome assembly, scaffold: ECPE_scaffold0002989